rnacentral:lncRNA from 1 species
CUUAAUCUUUCCCUUCAUGGUGAGCAUCAGGGCGCGGCUGAAAUGGCAUAUGGUGCGCUUCCAGGCCAUAUUCAUAUACUGAAUCAUGAUGAGGUAUUACUUAUUUACUUUCUUAGUUACUUGUGCAAUAUUGCUAAAAAAACAAAUAGAAAAAAAAAAAAAAAUACUCUUGCAAUAUUUGUCCAAUUCCUGACAUACUCGUGAGAACGUUGGAAAAAUUCUUAUAAGCCAAAGCGAUUUGUGUCAGAAGGAAAAACAGAAAUCAGAUACAUGCAAAUGACAGAUGUCGGAAAAGAGAGGACAGUGACAGGUUUCAACAAUGGUGAACAUAACGCGUCUGACUCAUGAAUUAAUUGGUGAACCAAUGGCUCUGAUGGCACUUGGACCCACCGUCCAUUCAUCUGAGAAGUUGCAGGAAUUUACGCAGAGAUCGGCCCAUAAGUUGACAGGAGGGAUCGGGUUCCUUCUUCAGUCUCCGUUCUGAUGAUGCUGUAUUCACUAACUCCUAAUAAAUCAUACACGCAUUUCUAUAUAUAUUUGGAAAACCAUGUUCCUGCUUUUCACAUAGGCACACAAUUAACCCUACACCACAUGAAUUAUGUUCCGAUUCAUGCCCAAGUAACAGCCAGCCCAAAGUCUGAUUAGAUUUCAGUUACCAAAUUUGGAAUUUUUAGUGAAUUCCAUAUCUAAUUUG